UGGUCAGUCUCGCUCGGCCAAGAGCACUAGGAAAGGUGUUAAUCGGUCAGCUAUAUGUAACAGAAUUGAUCAACCGUUACCGUGUCAGAGCAGCAGUAUUCCUGGUACCCCAGUGAGGUACUCUUCUGAGAUGAAUAAUAGAAACAUGCCAUUUGUGGAAUGUAAGGAAGAUUUUUACCCGCAGUAUGAGUCUCAGAUUGAUUGGUCAAACACGGGUACCCUGGAGAAGAGUCCACCCAAUACAGUAUUGUUACCAACUCGAAUUAAAAAGUAGAUGUCACUCUAGAUGGGAUACAGUCACAACAGCCAUUUAACCCCUGGAUACAAGUGCAACAACACCAUUUCACUACUGGAUAUAGUCACAACAACAAUAACAUAUCUCAAAUAGUCACACUCUUUACAGCUACUCACUACUUCACACAACAACCAUUAUAACAACAACAUUAACAACUGCAAUGUCUCCAGCAGUUACUUUCAAUCCUUCAACAAGACACAUCACUCUUCUUCCCUAAGUCUUCAUGUAGGAAGUAUCACAACACUCAAUGGACUUCUAAACAUCUACCACUUCAUCACCCUUGGGUGUCAUCACUGCAUAGUGUCGUCACUCCAUGGUGUCAUCAUUCCAUGGUGUCACUCAACAUAUUUGUCUGAAAAUAUCAGUUUAAGUGUUAUGCUAAGUUAGUUUUAUUGUUUAAUGAUGUUUAUAACUCCACAUGGUCAUUUGCUACAUGCAGUAAAACUUCCUCAGCAUACAUUCACCACAUGGGAAAGAUCUCACUACUGUACAUUUCCAACAUGUGCUGGAUCUCCAGAAUAGGUCUCUAUCAUGUGCUGAGUUCUGUAUGUAAUAGUUCCACAUGGUGUGGAAGAGUCUCCAACAUGUAGUGAAUGUGGGAACACCAUAAAUCCAUAUCAUGUCGGGAGAUAUCUUUGAUAUGCAUGUGAAGUUGCAGUGGUCUACCGCAUGAUGUACACCCAUAGAAACAUAGAAACAGUUAGGGUCCCAGGUUCAAAUAACAAGAUUUCUUUUUUAGCUAAGCCCUAAAUGCUGCUAGCCAUGCAUGAAAGCCACUACUUCCCAGAUAACUUCACAUAACUUUGUAAGAAAUUAUUGAUAUAAAUUAAAAACAUUCUAAAAAAAUGAUUUAAGGAAUUACAUUUCACCAAUCUUUGAAAUAUUCUUGGCACAUUUUACUCCAGAUGCAUACUUGUAUCUGCACAUUCUACACUCACAUUUAAAUACACACAUGUAUAUAUAAAUACACAAAUACCAACACAUUGGAAAUACACAUUUCACACACCACACACACAUUGCAAUAUAUGCAUUUUACACAAAGACAGAAUAUAUAUAAACAUUCUACUUGCAUACUUUAAUGUAUAUAUAAUCUACACGCACACACACACACACCAUUUACUCAAAUACUAGAACAAAUUUAUACACACAUAAACAAUAACACAUAUGUAUAUAUAUAUAAUAUACAUCAAAUGUUUAUAUAUUCUACACACACUUUACAAAUAGUUAAACUAAGCUGAAAUUUGAGGGAGUUUGAUUCCUGUAAGUAGUGACAACAUAAUGUCUGUAGUCACUUCCAUAAUGGUCUGUGUGUGUGUGUGUGUGUGUGAUUGCAGCAGACUGCAACAGCAGCAGUGGCAGCAGCAGUGGCGGCAACAGCAGCAGCAGCAGCCAUUACAGCCUCUGAUCCACAACCACACACACUAUCACCAACUUCAACACACUUUUUUUACAACCUGCUACGCAUUUCUCCAGACUGUCACACUCUGCUGCCAAGAGCUCCAGAUUAUGGAUCAGACAAUAAAAAUCAAUCUGAUGUCUACAUGAUGUUUACCUGAUGUCCACUUAAUGUCCACUUGGUAUCUAUUAUUCUUCCCAUUUUAUUAUACCUAAUACCUUUCAACAUUAUGCCUUUAAUAUCAUCAUUCUCGGAGAGACCACUGCUGUUCCUCUUGUUCCAGUUACCAUAUAUGGGGUUACAUGUCUCAGUGUUGUACUAAACAAAGUGAUGGGAGGAGGAAUGCCAGGGCGACAGUUGUCCAUUCAAAUAAAUAUUUUGGUUGUAUUACUACACUUCUGCAUUUCAAUUGACCUCGAGUACCAUGUCGACGAAGAAAGUAGUCCCCAAACUUUUAUUGGAGAUGUUGCUGCUGAUGCCAUGCUGGGUGACAGUGGCUCUUUGACAGACAGAAAUCUACUAACAUAUAACCAACUUCAGCAAGAAUGGAUGGAAAGUUCCCAGUUGUUCAAUGUCACACAAGAUGGUAAAUUGUACACGGCACACAAAAUUGAUGCCGAGUCUCUGUGCAAACCAAGGAAACAAUGUUUCAAAUAUAUUAAAAUAUCUGUAAACAAGGCAAAGUCUUUUAUGAAGAUUCUGAAAGUCAAAGUAAUUAUAGAAGACAUUAAUGAUCA